UCCGCGGUAGCUCAGCGGUAGAGCAUCCGACUGUUAAUCGGACGGUCGUAGGUUCGAAUCCUACCCGCGGAGCCA
rnacentral:tRNA from 2 species